rnacentral:rRNA from 1 species
CAGUAGCCGCGGUAAUACGUAGGUGGCAAGCGUUGUCCGGAAUUAUUGGGCGUAAAGGGCUCGCAGGCGGUUUCUUAAGUCUGAUGUGAAGGCCCCCGGCUCAACCGGGGAGGGUCAUUGGAAACUGGGAAACUUGAGUGCAGAAGAGGAGAGUGGAAUUCCACGUGUAGCGGUGAAAUGCAUAGAGAUGUGGAGGAACACCAGUGGCGAAGGCGACUCUCUGGUCUGUAACUGACGCUGAGGAGCGAAAGCGUGGGGAGCGAACAGGAUUAGAUACCCCGGUAGUCCCUGUCUCUUAUAC